GCGCUCGUAGCUCAACGGAUAGAGCACCUGACUUCGGAUCAGGCGGUUGGGAGUUCGAAUCUCUCCGAGCGCG
rnacentral:tRNA from 1 species